rnacentral:ncRNA from 1 species
UUGAGAUAAUGAUUAGAAGGGCGUCCAGUUUGGUAACGAGCUGGAGUAUAACUGGGUGAAUUGCUGGAACUUCCUAAAGCUUCAUCAACCACAACGUAACUGGAAACGGUCAGCGUGAAGGUUUGAAAAUGAUGAGGAUGAACAAUGGAUAAUCAGCAGCCAAGCUCCUGUGAGGAAACUCUGGAGAAGGUUCAACGACUAGAAUGUACUGUCUAAGGCAAUCGCUAUGACAAUGAGAUUCGUAGGGCAGUAAAUACUGUUCGAAGUGCCCAGCUCCAUGAAAAAAUGGAUGAAGAUAUAGUCUAUUCUGUAAUCGAAAGAUACAG